rnacentral:tRNA from 1 species
UCCCUGGUGGUCUAGUGGUUAGGACUCCGUACUUCCGCUACAGGGAACAUGGGUUCGAUCCCUGGUCAGGGAA